AUUGAACGCUGGCGGCAGGCCUAACACAUGCAAGUCGAGCGGAUGAAGAGAGCUUGCUCUCUGAUUCAGCGGCGGACGGGUGAGUAAUGCCUAGGAAUCUGCCUGGUAGUGGGGGACAACGUUUCGAAAGGAACGCUAAUACCGCAUACGUCCUACGGGAGAAAGUGGGGGAUCUUCGGACCUCACGCUAUCAGAUGAGCCUAGGUACGAUUAGCUAGUUGGUGAGGUAAAGGCUCACCAAGGCGACGAUAGUUAACUGGUCUGAGAGGAUGAUCAGUCACACUGGAACUGAGACACGGUACAGACUCCUACGGGAGGCAGCAGUGGGGAAUAUUGGACAAUGGGCGAAAGCCUGAUCCAGCCAUGCCGCGUGUGUGAAGAAGGUCUUCGGAUUGUAAAGCACUUUAAGUUGGGAGGAAGGGCAGUAAGUUAAUACCUUGCUGUUUUGACGUUACCGACAGAAUAAGCACCGGCUAACUUCGUGCCAGCCGCCGCCGUAACAC
rnacentral:rRNA from 1 species